GCGUCCCAUUAGCUAGUUGGUGAGGUAACGGCUCACCAAGGCCACGAUGGGUAGCCGGCCUGAGAGGGUGUACGGCCACACUGGCACUGAGACAAGGGCCAGUCCCCUAUGGGAGGCGCAGGCGGGAAUAGUUCACAAUGGGCGAAAGCCUGAUGACGCGACGCCGCGUGAGCGAAGAAGACCUUCGGGUUGUAAAGCUCUGUCAGGAGGGAAGAAGGCUCUACGGGUUAAUAGCCCGUGGAAUUGACGGUACCUCCAGAGGAAGCCCCGGCUAAAUACGUGCCAGCAGCCGCGGUAAUACGUAUGGGGCAAGCGUUGUCCGGAUUUACUGGGCGUAAAGGGCGCGUAGGCGGUUUGUUAAGUCGAAGGUGAAAUCCUCGGGCUCAACUCGAGAAUUGCCUUCGAUACUGGCAAACUAGAGUGGCGGAGAGGAAAGCGGAACUCUUGGUGUAACGGUGGAAUGUGUAGAUAUCAAGAGGAACACCGGUGGCGAAGGCGGCUUUCUGGACGCACACUGACGCUCAGGCGCGAAAGCGUGGGUAGCAAACAGGAUUAGAUACCCUGGUAGUCCACGCCAUAAACGAUGGGUACUAGGUGUCGGGGGUAUCGACCCCUCCGGUGCCGCAGUUAACGCACUAAGUACCCCGCCUGGGGAUUAUGGUCGCAAGGCUGAAACUCAAAGGAAUUGACGGGGCCCCGCACAAGCGGUGGAGCAUGUGGUUUAAUUCGACGCAACGCGAAGAACCUUACCUGGGCUUGACAUGCUUGGGACAGCGCUGGAAACAGCGUCUCUCCUUCGGGAGCCCUUGCACAGGUGCUGCAUGGCUGUCGUCAGCUCGUGUCGUGAGAUGUUGGGUUAAGUCCCGCAACGAGCGCAACCCUCGUUACUAGUUGCCAUCAGUUCGGCUGGGCACUCUAGUGAGACUGCCGGUGAUAAACCGGAGGAAGGUGAGGAUGAUGUCAAGUCAUCAUGGCCCUUACGCCCAGGGCUACACACGUGCUACAAUGGUCGGCACAAAGGGUCGCUAAGCCGCGAGGUGGAGCUAAUCCCAAAAAGCCGGCCUCAGUUCGGAUUGGAGUCUGCAACCCGACUCCAUGAAGGCGGAAUCGCUAGUAAUCGCGGAUCAGCACGCCGCGGUGAAUAUGUUCCCGGGGCUUGUACACACCGCCCGUCAUAUCACCCGAGUCGGGAUACCCGAAGUCCGUGACCCAACCAUUUGGAGGGAGCGGCCGAAGGUGU
rnacentral:rRNA from 1 species